rnacentral:rRNA from 1 species
AGUGAACGCUGGCGGUAGGCCUAACACAUGCAAGUCGAACGGCAGCACAGUAAGAGCUUGCUCUUACGGGUGGCGAGUGGCGGACGGGUGAGGAAUACAUCGGAAUCUACUUUUUCGUGGGGGAUAACGUAGGGAAACUUACGCUAAUACCGCAUACGACCUACGGGUGAAAGCAGGGGAUCUUCGGACCUUGCGCGAUUGAAUGAGCCGAUGCCGGAUUAGCUAGUUGGCGGGGUAAAGGCCCACCAAGGCGACGAUCCGUAGCUGGUCUGAGAGGAUGAUCAGCCACACUGGAACUGAGACACGGUCCAGACUCCUACGGGAGGCAGCAGUGGGGAAUAUUGGACAAUGGGCGCAAGCCUGAUCCAGCCAUACCGCGUGGGUGAAGAAGGCCUUCGGGUUGUAAAGCCCUUCUGUUGGGAAAGAAAAGCAGCAGGUUAAUACCCCGCUGUUCUGACGGUACCCAAAGAAUAAGCACCGGCUAACUUCGUG